UACGUAGGGGGCCAGCGUUGCUCGGAAUUACUGGGCGUAAAGGGUCCGUAGGCGGUGCGGCAAGUCGGAAGUGAAAUUUCUAGGCUUAACCUAGAAGCUGCUCCCGAAACUGCCGUGCUAGAGUGCGAGAGAGGCGAGUGGAAUUGCGGGUGUAGCGGUGAAAUGCGUAGAUAUCCGCAGGAACAUCCGAGGCGAAAGCGGCUCGCUGGAUCGCAACUGACGCUGAGGGACGAAAGCUAGGGGAGCAAACAG
rnacentral:rRNA from 1 species